rnacentral:rRNA from 1 species
ACUAAUAAUCAUACCAGCACUAAUGCACCAGAUCCCAUCAGAACUCCGAAGUUAAGCGUGCUUGAAUGAGAAUAGUAAUUCUAAUAGUAAUCUUAAUAAUACUAAUACCAAUAGUA